rnacentral:tRNA from 1 species
UGUUCUGUGACUUGUGUUGGCUAAAGCGCCGGUCUAGCGAAUACGGAGUCGUGGGUUCGAAUCCCACCAGAACAC